GGGAGUUAAAUGCUUUCUAAAAUUUGAGGAUUCACUAUUGGCCAGCUACAGACAUCCUGGUGACAGCCCACCUGCUACAAGGGUUGAAUGUGGGACACUUUUCACAAGAAUGCAUUUAACAAACCUGCUGUUAGAAACUGAUAGCUCUUUGCAACUCCCAUUAACAUUACCACACUGUCUUUUCAAGAAUGGGUAUCCAAGAAAUACAAGCUGAGUGAUCAUGGAAUUCUUUUCCAUGACCAGUGAUGAAAAUAAAGGCAUUAUCAUUCUGGAAAAUCAAGAGCAAACCUACAGUGAUUUGGAGAAACACAGAGUUUAAGAAGCUUCCAUGAGGAAAGAAAAAGAGGAGUUCAGUGUUUUAGAUUCCAAAUAUGUAACUCUUUUAAAUAGAUGAAACAUUCUAAUAAAAGUGU